rnacentral:lncRNA from 1 species
CUUCUUGACUCCAAAUCUCAAGCACUUUCCACCAUACCAUCUUUACGUCCAAAACUAUCCUCGAAGAUACAAAGAAAGUUGACAAUGGCAAAAUGGAGAAACUGAGGACUAGAAGGUCAAGGACUACAUAUUUAGAAUAGUAAGAGAAUUUUGAAAGUACUUAGUUGAAAACCCUGAUUUUGCAGAUGAAGAAACUGAACUGUAAAGAGAGAAUAUACCUUUCCCUAAGUCACAGGUUAGUAGAAGGCAAAUCUGGGAUUUAGAUCCACUCCUCUGGUUCCUUAUUUAGCACUGUGACUUUGAAAACAUAACAACAGAGAUACAUUUGUUCCAUGAAAUAAUGAUUGUAAAUAUUAAACAAGGCAUAAAAUAGAAAGAGGUACUCCAUAUGCUUUAUGUCUAUAUUGAUAGAUAAUGUAUGGGACAAAGGAAGAGCCAAUGAGGGACAGACAUGCACUGCUGGUUAUGACAGAAGCAAACACUUUUGAAAAAUGUGUAUCUGCUUGGUUUUUUUAUUCCUCAUUUGAUAUUUAUGACAGAACCAGUAUUUCUCUUUCAAGGAAUCUUUUGUGGUUUUAAUAAGUAGAAGAGAAAUGUUGGGGACAGCUUUGAAGAGGUUGGAAAUGCAGAAAUCAUUAUCUCAAUCCCGCUUUGAUCAUCACCUGAGCCUUGAUCUGAUUUGUCUCCCACUUUCAGGGGUUUUCCAUAUUAAUGUUGAACUUAAGGAAGACAAACAAUCAACUUCAUCUACUGUUUCUCAGAACUUCUGAGCUCAAAAGAGAUGCUAGCUUUAGCUUUCCUGAAUAUCAAUAAGUUCUUCUUCUUCUUUUUUAUCAUUGUUAUUUUAUAGUAGUUAUCAAAAAUAAUUAAAUAUAGUGAG